rfam:Picea glauca, whole genome shotgun sequence.
GGUGCUGUGGUGUAGUCGGUUAUCACGUCAGUCUUACACACCGAAGGUCCCAAGUUCGAACCUGGGCAGCACCA